rnacentral:rRNA from 1 species
UACGAAGGGGGCUAGCGUUGCUCGGAAUUACUGGGCGUAAAGGGCGCGUAGGCGGCACUGUUAGUCAGGCGUGAAAGUCCUGGGCUCAACCUGGGAACUGCGCUUGAUACGGCAGAGCUAGAGGAUGGAAGAGGCUCGCGGAAUUCCCAGUGUAGAGGUGAAAUUCGUAGAUAUUGGGAAGAACACCGGUGGCGAAGGCGGCGAGCUGGUCCAUUACUGACGCUGAGGCGCGACAGCGUUGGGAGCAAACAGG